rnacentral:rRNA from 1 species
UUCCGGUUGAUCCUGCCGGAGGUUACUGCUAUCGAGGUUCGACUAAGCCAUGCGAGUCGAAUGUAGCAAUACAUGGCGAACUGCUCAGUAACACGUGGACAACCUGCCCUUAGGACGGGGAUAAACCCGGGAAACUGGGUAUAAUACCCGAUAGGUCUCGAUUGCUGGAAUGCAUCGAGAUUUAAAGCUCCGGCGCCUAAGGAUGGGUCUGCGGCCUAUCAGGUAGUAGUGGGUGUAGCGUACCUACUAGCCUACGACGGGUACGGGUUGUGAGAGCAAGAGCCCGGAGAUGGAUUCUGAGACACGAAUCCAGGCCCUACGGGGUGCAGCAGGCGCGAAAACUUUACAAUGCUGGCAACAGCGAUAAGGGAACCUCGAGUGCCAGGUUACAAAUCUGGCUGUCGAGAUGCCUAAAAAGCAUUUCAUAGCAAGGGCCGGGCAAGACCGGUGCCAGCCGCCGCGGUAACACCGGCGGCUCGAGUGGUAACCGUUAUUAUUGGGUCUAAAGGGUCUGUAGCCGGCCGGAUAAGUCUCUUGAGAAAUCUGGCAGCUUAACUGUCAGGCUUUCAGGAGAUACUGUCUGGCUCGAGGCCGGGAGAGGUGAGAGGUACUUCAGGGGUAGGGGUGAAAUCUUGUAAUCCUUGAAGGACCACCAGUGGCGAAGGCGUCUCACCAGAACGGACCUGACGGCAAGGGACGAAAGCUAGGGGCACGAACCGGAUUA